rnacentral:rRNA from 1 species
CCCUUAGAUGUUCUGGGCCGCACGCGCGCUACACUGACUGGUGCAACAAGUGUCGCUCCUUGGCCGAUAGGCCUGGGCAAUCUUUGAACGCCAGUCGUGAUGGGGAUAGAUUCUUGCAAUUUUUGAUCUUCAACGAGGAAUUCCUAGUAAACGCAAGUCAUCAGCUUGCAUUGAUUACGUCCCUGCCCUUUGUACACACCGCCCGUCGCACCUACCGAUUGAAUGGUCCGGUGAAAUCUCGGGACGGCGGCUCGGUCGCUUGCGUCCGACUGCUGAAACUUGAUUAAACCAUAUCAUUUAGAGGAAGGUGAAGUCGUAACA